rnacentral:rRNA from 1 species
AGCUCCAAUAGCGUAUAUUAAAGUUGUUGCAGUUAAAAAGCUCGUAGUUGGAUUUCUGGUGGGAGGGAUCGGUCUUGCAUUCUUUGUAAGCACUUGUAUCCUCUCCGGCCAUCCUUGGGUGGAUCUUGUCUGGCAUUAAGUUGUCAGGCAGGGGAUGCCCAUCGUUUACUGUGAAAAAAUUAGAGUGUUCAAAGCAGGCUUAUGCCAUUGAAUAUAUUAGCAUGGAAUAAUAAGAUAGGGCCCUGGUACUAUUUUGUUGGUUUGCGUACCGAGGUAAUGAUUAAUAGGGACAGUUGGGGGUAUUUGUAUUCAGUAUUCAGUGGUGAAAUACUUAGACCUACGGAAGACAAACUACUGCGAAAGCAUUUACCAAGGAUGUUUUCA